rnacentral:lncRNA from 1 species
CUAACCCCAGUCUUGCAGGUGCAGAGUAGAUAGAGGAGUCAGCAGAGUAAGAGAAGUUUAUGUAAUAGCUUAGCUGUGGACAUGGUUUGUUGGUAAUGUAAAAGUAUGAGAUGUAAUGUAAUGUAAGUUGAUAAUGUGCUUGACUAGAGUCUGUUGUAUUCCCUGUACACAUGGUCUUGUAUGAGAUAUAAUGUUUUUAUGAUGCCUAUGUAAUCCAAGCCUAUGUUAUGUUAUGUUACCCCAUUGGAGUAUUU